rnacentral:rRNA from 1 species
AGCGAACGCUGGCGGCAGGCCUAACACAUGCAAGUCGAACGAACUCUUCGGAGUUAGUGGCGGACGGGUGAGUAACAUGUGGGAACGUGCCUUUUGGUUCGGAAUAACUCAGGGAAACUUGUGCUAAUACCGAAUGUGCCCUUCGGGGGAAAGAUUUAUCGCCAUUAGAGCGGCCCGCGUCUGAUUAGCUAGUUGGUGAGGUAACGGCUCACCAAGGCGACGAUCAGUAGCUGGUCUGAGAGGAUGACCAGCCACACUGGGACUUAGACACGGCCCAGACUCCUACGGGAGGCAGCAGUGGGGAAUCUUGCGCAAUGGGCGAAAGCCUGACGCAGCCAUGCCGCGUGAAUGAUGAAGGUCUUAGGAUUGUAAAAUUCUUUCACCGGGGACGAUAAUGACGGUACCCGGAGAAGAAGCCCCGGCUAACUUCGUG